ACCUUCCUCUUUGUCUCAAAAGGAAAAAGAAGACCGCAUCCCCCGGAACUCAGGAUCCCCGUGGGGCUCUCCGUGCCUGAUGCCGCCAUUGGCAAAACCCUGAAAGCCCUAAACCUUCCGAGACAACCAUGGACGAGCUCGUGUCGGUGGCGCUGGAGGAGGUGUGCGCGCGCCUCGCGCCGGGGAUCCCCGUCGUGGACCUAUGGCCAGCGCUCCGUGGCACGCUCGAUGCGACGGGGCUCCCGCUAGGCCCAGCAGUCAAGCGCGCCCUGUGGGCUCGCAUCCUUGCGCUCCGCGUCGUCAACCUGGUGGAGGGGGAUGGGGACGGGGUGCCCAUCUCUGCCGGAGACCCGGCGGAGAAGGACUUCGAGGAGGCCGAACGGCGGGGCAUGCGGCUCGUGGCAAGCGCGGGGAUCAGGGACAACUUCCUGGGGUUAUACGAGCGCAGAUUCGCGAAGUCGGAGUUGAGUGCCGUCCAGAAGGCGACGUUGGAGUGUGUUGCGGCAAGCAGGACUUCAGGGGUACCACAGAGUGAACUUUGCAAAAAAUUUAGAAUGAAAGGAAACAAUUUCCAUUUUAUUGCAAAGAGUCUUGAAUCACAACGACUAAUAGUUAGACAAUCAACUAUUAUAAAGAUGAAAGAUCACGGAGCUGAGAGGGAAGAUGCCUCGCAGAAUAAACAUAUUAUCAAUACCAAUUCACUAUAUCUCUCCCGAUAUGCCAAGGACUUGAAUAUGACUUCACAGCAAAGAAUUGAGAUUACAAAGCCUGAACUACUUGGGAGCAAUGAAGAGGCCAAUGUAGAUGCUUUCCGAGUAGAUGGAGCUUUUGAUGUUAACUCCAAGAAUGAUAUAUCUAUUCAUGAUUAUCUUCCAGCAAUGAAAGCCAUAUGUGAUAAACUUGAAGAAGCAAGUGGAAAGGCUCUUGUUGUGUCAGAUAUAAAAGUUGAUCUCGACUACAGGAUGGCAUAUGGGCACAGAGCAUGGAGAAAUGUAUUGCAUAGAUUAAUAGAUGCACGACUUGUGGAGAUAUUUGAUGCCGAAGAUGAUGAUAAGGUUGUCCGUUGUUUGCGUCUACUGAAAAAUUUUGAUCCAAAUGAGUUUCAGCCAAAAAGUAUAGCUUCAAAUUUUAAAUUUGUUAAAAAAGGUCAGGCAACUGAUCAAAUUUUGGAACUUCCAUUAGAGAACUGUAUAUAUGAUAUGAUCAGUAGCCAAGGGACAAAAGGUAUUACACUUGUUGAGAUUGGCAAACAUCUUGGACUCAACAAUUCAAAAAAACUUCAUAAACGAGUAUCAUCCAUGCUAAAAAAAUUCAACCUAACAUGGGAAGCAGAAGUUCCAGACAAGACAUCGCAGUACCGAAUUUGGACUUCAAAAAACUUCUCACUCUACAAAGCUGGUACUGCUCUGCAAAAUUUUGAGGCACUCUCAGAAGACUGUGAUGAUUGUUCGGAUUUGUGGUCCCUAGUUUCAUCUAAAGAUUUGGAAUCACCUAGUUCACAGGGCAAAUUACUCUUGCUUGAAGAAGAGAACCAUGACAAACCAAUUGGACAUCAUAUCCAGAACAACCGUGAUGCUUCUGCUGCAGUUUCCCAGUUAGUUGAAGAAGAUAAACUUGCUUCGAAUCAGAGGAGGCGUCGGUGCCGUCCAUUAUCUUCUGAUGAUCAACGCCAUAGAAGGAUUCUACACAUGUUAAAGAAGAAGAAAUUUGUACUGAAGGUGGAGUUACAUAAAUGGUUAGAACGGCUUGAAAAGAAGGACGGGAAAAUAAUGGAUAGGAAGACAUUGACUCGCACGUUGAAUAAGCUUCAGCAAGAGGGAAGCUGUAAAUGUAUCAAAGUCAGUGCUCCAUUGGUGACAAAUUAUGCUCGCAGUCGUCUCUUUGAUGUAAUACUGCAUUCUUCUGUUGGAGACGUGUCACCAGAACUUGUGGAGCAAUUUAGGACCAGACAAAGGAACUUUGACACCGAAUCUCGCGCAGGUGCAGCAGCUAAAGUGAAGCAAAAUCAACAUAUGACUGCCAUACCUGGUCUGAGGAUUUCACGCAGAGUUAAAGUUUACAAACCAUUACUAUUAGAAGCUAUGUAUGCAAAUGGAUUCAUAGGCGCAAAGAUGAUUCGAGCAAAGUUAUUUCAUAAAUUUCUGUGGGCUUAUGUCAAUUCUUUGCCAAAUUGGUGCAAUGCAUUUGGUUGUACCAAAGCAGGGCAGUAUGAUAAGAGCCUUAAUCAAUCAUGCCUGUUAUUUUCUAUGGAAGCAGCUAUGAAAGAAAUGCCCCUUGAACUCUUUCUACAAAUUGUUGGGUCAGCAAAGAAGAUUGAUAACAUGAUAACGUUGUGUAGGCUUGGAAAAACACUUUCAGAAAUACCUACAGAGGAAUACAAUCAGAUCUUGGAUACUCAUGCCAAUGGCCGACUCUCACGUUUAGUAAAUAUUUUGGACAAGCUCAAGCUGGUUCAGCUUGCAAAAGAAUUCUUAGAAGAUGCUGGUGUAUCGUCAAAUGCCAUGUAUACACAUUCGAUGGAGCUCAGGCCUUACAUCGAAGAACCCAUGCCAAGAAUUCUUCCAUCUUCCCAACUGAACAAUCAUCGGAAAAUUCGGCAUGAUUUUGUACUUUCAAAGAAAGAGUUUGUUGAUUCUUAUUGGGAAACACUAGAGUGCUGUUAUUUAACAGCUGGUUUGGCUGACCCGUUAAGUGCCUUCCCUGGCAGUUCUGUCCCGGAGGUUUCUCAUCGUCGUUCAUGGUGUUCACUUAGAGUCAUGACUACUGAACAACGACUGGAGUUGCAACAGCGUAUUAUGGAUGUUGGUGAGAAGGGGAAAAUUCCUUUUAAAGACUGUGUUAGAAUAGCAAGAGAACUGAAUCUUUCUGUAGAGCAGGUACUUCGCCUUUCAUAUGAAAGGCAAUCUCGGCUCCAUGAACAGCCCAGCUUUACUUCUAAACAAAAGCAGCAAAGAGUUGGUUCUGGAUUGACUCCUGUGAGAAGAAAGAGACGUGCCGAUGGGACCAGCCUGAAGCUUCUGAAACGUACAGUACAAGCAAGUGGAUCUGCUGAACAAAUAUUGGAGCAACCUAUUGUUGAUGAAGAAGUACCAAUGAUCAGUCGGUAUGCUAUCUUAAGAAAGAGCUGCAUGAGAAGUAAAAGAUUCUUUUGGACAUGUGAAUCUGAUAGAAAACUGCUGAUGGCAUACAUUAGAGUGCGUGCAGUACUUGGGGCAAGAUAUUAUCGUGUACCUUGGAAGUCUCUCUCUGAUCUUCCAGCUCCACCACAUACAUGUCUUAGAAGGAUGGCACUACUAUUGAAAACAAACGGAAAGAUAAGAGGAGCUGUCAUGUGUUUAUGUAACCUUCUUGGGGAACGGUAUGUUAGAUAUCUUGAAAAGGAAAGGAGUUUGAAAAGGAGAAGAUUGUUUCCCCAGAUUUCAAACAGAAGUCAAGAAAACAGUUUGGAUUCAGAUUGUGAGCAAUUCAAUUGGGAUGACUUUGAAGUUCCAGAGAUAAAGAGUGCACUUAAUGAAGUCCUUGAAUUAAUUCAAACAGAAAAAAUAGAUCAGGCCAAGAGAAUUGGGCCUGUUAAUCAAAAAAACAUUAACAAUGAUAAUGAUGUCACAAAGGACACAAUAUGUUCUCAGGAACUGCCAAAUAAUCAGGCUAUACUAGGUGAAACCAAAACGAGUGCAGUUUCAGAAAGCGGGUUCUGUGAUCCUGAAAAAUCAUGCAGACAUUCAAAUGCAGAAAGUGAAAACAUGGAAGUCUUCUGCAAACCUCAAGAAAAAAUCAUUAAGGAUCACCGAAAUAAGAUUAUUGAAAGAGGCAUAUGGAAAUCAUUGGCUGUUGCAAAUGCCUUGGAGCUUCUGAAGUUGGUUUUCCUCAACACAUCUUUAGGAUCAAAUGUACAAGCUUCACUAGCAGCAACACUGCAGCUUUAUUCAGAGAGCGAGAUUUUUACUGCUGUUUCCUUUCUUAAAGAAAAAAAAUUCUUGGUUACUGGGAGUGGUGGGAAGCCGUACACCCUUUCUUCACAAUUCUUAACCAAUGCUUGUUGUUCACCUUUUCCAUUUGGUUCAGGGAAAAAGGCUUCUAUAUUUUCUAAUUGGCUUAUAGCUCAGCAAAAGAAUACUACAGACAGUGGAGUUUAUUUGUAUCCAGAUAUACAAUGUGGAGAAAUUGUUCAUCUAUUCUCUCUGGUUUUGUCAGGAAACCUUCUCAUUUCACCUUUCUUGCCUAGUGAAGGAGUUGGUGAGGCUGAUGAGCCUAACAGCUCUGGUCCUUUGGUCGUAGAUACCAGCGGUUUGGCUGACAACAGUCAUAAGCGCAAGGCUGAUACAGUGAAACUGAAAAGCAGCAAGGCUAAGAAACCGAAGCCUUUGCCAAAGAUAGAAAGUGACUUUUGCUACCGCCGGGAGAAAGGAUUUCCUGCUAUCCAAAUAGGUCUAAAUCUUCAUAGAAUUCAAACAAGCAAUUUCUUGCAAGAGUUUCAUGGUAAAGAAUCCUCUAUUUUUACUUCAAGCUGGGCAAUGAGCAAAAAGAAUGUUGAUUUGCAUGCAGAAAGGCACAUCAUGCCAUUGUUUUCAAAUUGCUUAAGUUCAUAUAGGCAUUUAUUGUCUGAAUCUCAGUUGGAGAACUCAUACAGUGGAUGGCCUUGGGAUGCCAUGACAAAUUAUGCGGAAGAGUUAUCACCAGUAUCUGAGCACCAAAAUGAAUUGUUCACAUUGUCUCCUGAACUGUUCAGGAAUGCAUUUCUUGUUAUUCAUCAAGCUGGUGGGCAAGGAGUUACCUUGAGAGAACUUUCGCAGGCACUGCAUCCGUUAGCCAUGCAGCUGGUCUUAAUAAUUGUUGACACUCUCAAAAGAUUUCAGCUGGCUGUUAAGGUCAAUGCAUAUGAUGGCGUUCAGAUUGUGGACUCAUUACAUUCGUCAAAGUAUCAUAUAGCUACACUUGCAGAAUGUGAUAGUUGCUGCUGUACAGAUCCUCCAACUUCUCAAUUUGUUGAUAAUGAAAACACAAAAAAUCUACUGAAAGAGAAGCAUACCAAGCCUAUUAAUUUUCCUGGUCCAAUAAAAAUGCUUGGUGAUGGGCACACAGUGACAGUAAUUAAUGUUCAAAGCAAGUUGAGCCCACCUUACAUGCACAGCAAAGAUCCUGGGGAUGCGGAAAGGUUAUCUACUCCAGGAGAGAACAAUAAGGAGAGUAGUUUCUAUCAUAAUUGUGAAAGGCAUUGUUAUCAGCCUAUAUUACCAUGGAUAAAUGGUGAUGGUAGUACUAAUAGCACUCUCUAUGAAGGUUUAAGUCGCCGAGUUAUUGGUUAUGUCAUGCACUAUCCAGGACUAUCGGAGGAAGAUGUUAUCCGUAGGAUGGAUGUAUUGAAUCCUCAGACUUGCAGGACCCUGCUAGAAAAGCUAACGCUCGAUGGGAACCUUCAUGUUCGGGUUUUUGAAGAACCUGUGCCAAUGGCUCCGACCACACUGCAGGAUCCAGACUUGUGAGGGCAUCAAGAUUUGGAAUGUUUAAAUGUUACCGUCCCCAGAACUGGUAAGGCCAUCUCGUGGUAAGACCAUCUCCGCCGUGUAAAUAGUCGUGCAAAGUACUAUUUUGCACCUGUUUGCAGAGUAAAAUUUAAAAUAGAGAGUAAGAUAGGGAGUGGAAUAGAGAGUCUGCUGGUCUGCUGGAGAGCUAAGGCCCUUAACUGAACCAUCAUCACUUGUCUGUUUCUGAGCCGUGCUUGCUCUAAGGCCGUGCUGAUUGUCGUGCUUAGGAGCAGGCAUAUUAUGGUUGUGCAAAACAUUGUUUUGCACUGUAUAAUUAUUAUUUACAAAGUGGUGUUUGAAAUAGGGAAUGUGAUAUGAGGUGUGAUAGGGAGGCUGGAGAUAGACUAAGACUCAUUUUCAGGCCGCCGUUGUCUCUGGGUUCUGUCGUCGUAGGUUCAUGCAUGAAAGAUGUACCUUAGGUUAUGUCCAACAGCUUACGAAUCAGUUCGCACAUGCGCAUUUUGUGCGACCACAUCCCAUUAUGUAUACUUCCAGCAAAUUGUCGCGUAAAAUGUGUGGUCGUUCGUGUGGCCACACGUUCUCUUCUCUGCAGGAGAGGGUGCGCACUCUCAUGCUCGAGACACUAUAAAUGGGCGUUUUUUGUUGCGCAAAUGAGCGCCAUGGCGCAUGCGCUUUCGCAUUCGGCCACCACUGGACAUAACCUUAGUCUCUAGUAAUUUACUCAUCUUUCAUUUUAAAUCUCACUCUAUAAAUAGUGCAGUUCAUAAAAUAAUAUUUUUACAUGGUCAUAUGCAUAAUAUGGUGACCAUAGCCUUACUAGAGGUAGUAUCCGUAGUUGUUUACUCAAAAGGAGCAUGAUGAAAGCAUCUACACCUUAAUUUGAUUUUGAUAGUUAAAGAUAACAUAAUUAUUAUGACUAAGGGUGUUUUAUAGAAACACUAUUAUAAUGUCUGCGCAUUGCGAUGUACAUCAAUCACAUUUGAUGCUAUAGUGCAAUAGUUAUACGACAUUCGAGGGAGCUGUGUCAAGUUAGUGUGAUGGAUGCUCCCCAUAAAAAAAUUAAAAUUAAAUUAGAUCCUAUCAUAAAAAAUAAAAUUAAAAUUAAAGUGGACAUAUUUCCCACAUACUGUAUAUUAAUUUGUAGAUACCACACUUCAUAUUAUCCAAAAGGCCUCAAAAGUCUGAGAAAGAUAUGCGUUAAAAAGAAAAUCUAACCUUUUUUUAAGAGCAGGCUCGGUUCCUCAUCAUUCUUCAGCUAGCGAGGUGGUAUUAUUCUAGUGUUACACUGUAUGUAUGUGUCUUCGUGUCGAGUUAGGGUUGGGUGUUUUCUCAUGGCCUGUUAUAGGUAAUGGUCUGAUGGUUAGGCCAUCUCUAGCAGACCGUGUAAAUAGCCGGACAAAGUACUAUUUUGCACUGCAUAUUAUAUUGUUUGUAGAAUUGAGACCUAAGAGCAUUUCCAACAAUGUGACCUAUAAAAUUGCCCUAUAAUUUAAAAAUGAGUAUAUUUUGUAGAAUUUAGGGCACGGACAAAAUACCUCGCUCCAACAGUAAAACCUUAAAUCUAGAUUAUAGGACAGCCCACUACGGUGUUUUUGAGGCACUUCAGACAAUGCCCUAUAAUUUUUUGACCAAGGAGAGCAAGCAGAGGGUGAAUGCAAGUGCGAACUUGGCCUCAACCUCCUCAUGAAGAGGCAAGCAUUUGGACACUUCACAAUAGCAUGGCGAGCGCACAUGGCACGACACAACAUACGUAGAGGCAGGGCCUAGCAGGUUCAUGAAACCGUUCGAUUGAUCCGGCUAAUUGGCCAGUAAAUCAGUAAUCGGUGGCGGCUCGUAAGGCCGUAUCACCGAUUUACCCAUUUAAAUUUAGAAUAUUUUGUAAAUUUUGAAAAAAUUGAUGCCAGUUUUUUAUAAAUACUAUAAAGUAUUUUAAGACUUUUCACAUAAACCAAAUUUGAAAACACUUAAAAGAUUUAAAAAUAAAAAUCAAACAAGUUUCAAAAAUAAAAAGGGAGAUAAACCAGACGAUUUUGCUAACUAGCCUCCCCUGUUAGCCAAUUAAUCGGGCCCAAAUAGAGAUAAACCGAGGGUGGCCUCUAGUAGCAAGGUGUCGGGUAUCAUAAUUAGUGUACUUGGAUUGUGUCCCUAAGCAUACCUAACACCUGAGUAUUAAGAAAUCAAACAAAAAAACGCACUCCUUGAGGCCACUAAGGGUUGAAUCACGAUUCGCCCGGACCCCCGCUCAACGGUCGCUCAAAACUACGUCUUGCCCGAGCCCAUCCUCGUGUGAAGGUUGUGCCCGUGUGAAAUCCUUGACUCGGCCGAGGGCCCCACUUUACAGAAAUCAAUUUCUGUCUCACCUAAGCUCAUCUCGAACGAAGGACAGCCUCGAGCCCGGUAUCGACCAAAGUUCUCGGGGACCAUGAAGACAUGCGCAUUAAAUGCGAUGAUACAAAUAUCUGCUCCAUGUGACACCACAGUCAACAGAGGACGAUGGGACAGCGGUCCCAUCUACUUUCACCGACUAAGAUGACGCACGCCCACGAAAAUCGGACGCUGCUCCCCCACUCUGGUCGCUGUUCCCAAGCAACUCUGAAUGGGACGUGCAAAUGUCUAAAGCACAGCCUCACCCUCGGGAGAGAACUCCACCUAGCCUGAAGAUGGCUUCCGACUCGGGAGGAAACUCCGCCUCGCCCGAGUUUGGUCUCGGUCAACUGCCCUGGCAGUAGGGCAUACCACCAACUCCACGCGAAUCGCGCAGAAGACCACUCCGAUAUGCCAAGGACUUGAAUAUGACUUCACAGCAAAGAAUUGAGAUUACAAAGCCUGAACUACUUGGGAGCAAUGAAGAGGCCAAUGUAGAUGCUUUUCGAGUAGAUGGAGCUUUUGAUGUUAACUCCAAGAAUGAUAUAUCUAUUCAUGAUUAUCUUCCAGCAAUGAAAGCCAUAUGUGAUAAACUUGAAGAAGCAAGUGGAAAGGCUCUUGUUGUGUCAGAUAUAAAAGUUGAUCUCGACUACAGGAUGGCAUAUGGGCACAGAGCAUGGAGAAAUGUAUUGCAUAGAUUAAUAGAUGCACGACUUGUGGAGAUAUUUGAUGUCGAAGAUGAUGAUAAGGUUGUCCGUUGUUUGCGUCUACUGAAAAAUUUUGAUCCAAAUGAGUUUCAGCCAAAAAGUAUAGCUUCAAAUUUUAAAUUUGUUAAAAAAGGUCAGGCAACUGAUCAAAUUUUGGAACUUCCAUUAGAGAACUGUAUAUAUGAUAUGAUCAGUAGCCAAGGGACAAAAGGUAUUACACUUGUUGAGGUACUUCUCUGAACCUUGAAUUGGCGCAACUUUGUGGUAUUAUGUGUUUUAAAUUAUAUGCUAGACUGGUUCUUACUUUAUCCUACUAUUGCAGUGCUGUUGUGCUUCCUUUUGAGUUAUACAUGUUACGUUACCUAAUUUCUUCUUCAAUACUUGAUUAUGGUUGCCUAAACCUGAAGAUAUUUGUUUCGCUUGGCUGUGGACUAGUUUCAGCAAUAGGUUAUUUUAUUUAGGGACAUGUUAACAUGAAUAAUUUCUCAUGCAAAGGUAGAGCAGCUUCCGGGUACAGUAAUGGCAUUUUUACUUGACCGGUUGACCCAAUAAGCCAAUAUAAUUAUUAAUCGGUCAAUGCGCUAAUCGGCAGCCCACCGCGUAGCCUAACGUUAAAUGGCCAAAAAAAACCCUGCAAGAUUGUAAUAACCACAAUAAAGAAACAUUGACACAUUCCUCUUACAGUAACCAUGUAUUCUUCUUGAAUAAUGUAGUGUCACUCUUGUUCCCGAUAAUGUACAAAAAUUAUGAACUGUACAAAUGGUAGAAAGAUAUAGUGCAACAGUUAUAAAUUGUUCUUGCUUAUCAUUCAUCUCCAAAUAAUAAUUAUAUUGGUUUCACUAGACUGUAGUCUGGGAUGACCAGUAUAUAGACCAAUCAAUUUACAUACAAGAUACAAAAACAAAUCGGUACAACUACAAAAAAAAAGAGAAACAGUAAUAAGGAGAAAACGAAUUAUACCUAUAUGGCACAUUGACCGCGAUUAUGUACACCGCAGCGUCAUCCCUUUAUUGGAUAUGGUUUUCACCACUAAACUAAUUUCAUGGCUUCAUCUCUGUAUCUUGGCAAUAAAACCUUGGCCUGGAAAGCUUUGCCACCAAGCCUGUUCUCUGCAGCAUGCACUUACUAACCAAUCUAAUGGCACCUUCCCGUGUUUUCGUCCCAAGCUUUUGUACUCAGUUCUGCUCAGACAAUAACUGUAACAGUAUAGGGUGAAAGAAUAAGUUCAUAUCUUGUGUCAGUGUCUACUGUGCUUGUGCUCCUUAUUUUCUGAGAAAGGGCUUCUGACAGACGAGUAGCUUUUCAUCACUAGCUAUGUCAAGAUCUAAAAUACGGGCAUCCCAUCUGAGUUGAGUAACAACAGAUCUUGCCGCUUCAAUAAGAGGGGCGGUGUCACGGAUUAUGACCCAGCCCUACAUCAACAUCAAACAAGCAGGAAAAAAAUUAGACAACACUUGUAUAAAAUAAUCUUACGACUGGAGACAGAUGCGUACAGCUCCACACGUGUGGAAGUAUGCAGUGCAAGACUAGUCUGAUAAUUCUGCCGCAUUCCUUCAUCAUGGGUAAAUGGCAAUUGUGCAUCAUACUUGUACAGUAAAUAAAUGUAGUAUAGCAUAGGGAUAGGGUAUCUUUCUUUCCCAUUGCAAAACCUAAUGACAAACCUCUGCACUAGUAGAGUCCCCAUAGCCCAUGAUCACAAAGAUAGCUGUACCAAAGUAUAUGGCCAUACACGAGCGACAGUUUUUUAAAAAAACUAAACCAAGCUAAAUGUACUAUUUUUAUGAAUGUCCCUGGCUCUUUCCAUAUGGUGCAAUCAAGAAAAAAAAUACUUAUUGUUUUAAAAAGCAACACUAAUUAGAAUGGCACCAUAUGAACCAUUUUACGGAUUGUACCGUUUAGAAAUUAGAAUCAUGAAUACCCAGAAACAGUGCAGUGUUAGGCCUUAUGUUCUACAUGCUUCCAAGAACCUUGAAAUGAAUUAUAGACAUGAUUCACGGCUGAAUAAUGGAUUCCAAAUCAGUGUCAUUAACCAAAUUUUCAUUACCUCUGGUCGUAGGAUGCGAUCAACUUCCAAGAAUAUGUCAAGAGUAGAACAUCUAUGCUUGUGGGUCUUCUCAAGUGAUAGAAAGCCAUCAGCAUGCACCAUAUCAUAUGUUCUUGGGCACAAUAGUAAGCUCUGAUAUACACUUUCCAGCACAUUGGGCAUGCAGAGUUUCCCAGAUUUCUAAAGUACCGCCAAGUGGAAAGACCACGGCAGACAAGUGUUGCUGAAUAACAAAUCAUGAUGUGAAGGGUCAUUUUGAAGUUCCUAGUGGAAAACAGACCCAUGAGCAAAAGCUCCUUGCCUUGAACGUUGAACCCCAGAAUUCAUUGAUGAUCAAUAUAUGGAGAAGCUUGAAUACAUAUCAUUAUGUGAUAGAGAUUUUGUUUGCUUAUGUCAUCUGAUUGGGAUGAUAAUUUGUUUAUCUUAAAAUUAGUAACUAAUGUCUAAUACAACUUCUGAUUAGAUUGGCAAACAUCUUGGACUCAACAAUUCAAAAAAACUUCAUAAACGAGUAUCAUCCAUGCUAAAAAAAUUCAACCUAACAUGGGAAGCAGAAGUUCCAGACAAGACAUCGCAGUACCGAAUUUGGACUUCAAAAAACUUCUCACUCUACAAAGCUGGUACUGCUCUGCAAAAUUUUGAGGCACUCUCAGAAGACUGUGAUGAUUGUUCGGAUUUGUGGUCCCUAGUUUCAUCUAAAGAUUUGGAAUCACCUAGUUCACAGGGCAAAUUACUCUUGCUUGAAGAAGAGAACCAUGACAAACCAAUUGGACAUCAUAUCCAGAACAACCGUGAUGCUUCUGCUGCAGUUUCCCAGUUAGUUGAAGAAGAUAAACUUGCUUCGAAUCAGAGGAGGCGUCGGUGCCGUCCAUUAUCUUCUGAUGAUCAACGCCAUAGAAGGAUUCUACACAUGUUAAAGAAGAAGAAAUUUGUACUGAAGGUGGAGUUACAUAAAUGGUUAGAACGACUUGAAAAGAAGGACGGGAAAAUAAUGGAUAGGAAGACAUUGACUCGCACGUUGAAUAAGCUUCAGCAAGAGGGAAGCUGUAAAUGUAUCAAAGUCAGUGCUCCAUUGGUGACAAAUUAUGCUCGCAGUCGUCUCUUUGAUGUAAUACUGCAUUCUUCUGUUGGAGACGUGUCACCAGAACUUGUGGAGCAAUUUAGGACCAGACAAAGGAACUUUGACACCGAAUCUCGCGCAGGUGCAGCAGCUAAAGUGAAGCAAAAUCAACAUAUGACUGCCAUACCUGGUCUGAGGAUUUCACGCAGAGUUAAAGUUUACAAACCAUUACUAUUAGAAGCUAUGUAUGCAAAUGGAUUCAUAGGCGCAAAGAUGAUUCGAGCAAAGUUAUUUCAUAAAUUUCUGUGGGCUUAUGUCAAUUCUUUGCCAAAUUGGUGCAAUGCAUUUGGUUGUACCAAAGCAGGGCAGUAUGAUAAGAGCCUUAAUCAAUCAUGCCUGUCAUUUUCUAUGGAAGCAGCUAUGAAAGAAAUGCCCCUUGAACUCUUUCUACAAAUUGUUGGGUCAGCAAAGAAGAUUGAUAACAUGAUAACGUUGUGUAGGCUUGGAAAAACACUUUCAGAAAUACCUACAGAGGAAUACAAUCAGAUCUUGGAUACUCAUGCCAAUGGCCGACUCUCACGUUUAGUAAAUAUUUUGGACAAGCUCAAGCUGGUUCAGCUUGCAAAAGAAUUCUUAGAAGAUGCUGGUGUAUCGUCAAAUGCCAUGUAUACACAUUCGAUGGAGCUCAGGCCUUACAUCGAAGAACCCAUGCCAAGAAUUCUUCCAUCUUCCCAACUGAACAAUCAUCGGAAAAUUCGGCAUGAUUUUGUACUUUCAAAGAAAGAGUUUGUUGAUUCUUAUUGGGAAACACUAGAGUGCUGUUAUUUAACAGCUGGUUUGGCUGACCCGUUAAGUGCCUUCCCUGGCAGUUCUGUCCCGGAGGUUUGUCUCAUCUGUUGUACAUCAUUGAUGCAUAGGAUUAUCGCAUACGUUGAAUAAAUGUACUUAGCGCCUGUUUGUUUGCUCCCCAACUUACAUAAGGUAGCUUCUGGGCAUGGGCAGUACGGUGAGAAACACCACCCUUGAUGCCGAAAUAAGUUUCCCAUAUUUGUGUUUACCAUACUGCCCUUGGGCCAUAAGCUAUCUUAUAUAAGUAUGGAUGAAAACAAACAGACCCUUCGAAUUUGAAUUA